UGGGCUUGCUGGAUGAGUGAUCGGCAAUUCCCUGACUUUAGUUCACUCACAUUUGGAGUUAAAUAUGUCUUUAAGCGCUGCUGAAAAAGCAAAAAUCGUUGCUGACUUCGCUGUUAAGCA
rfam:Rheinheimera nanhaiensis E407-8 DNA, contig: CTG026.